AUACGGAGGGUGCAAGCGUUACUCGGAAUCACUGGGCGUAAAGCGCGCGCAGGCGGUCUUUUAAGUUGGAUGUGAAAGCCUACGGCUCAACCGUAGAACUGCAUCCAAAACUAUUAGACUAGAGUGUGCGAGAGGAAGAUGGAAUUAGUUGUGUAGGGGUAAAAUCCGUAGAGAUAACUAGGAAUACCAAAAGCGAAGGCAAUCUUCUGGAACACUACUGACGCUGAGGCGCGAAAGCGUGGGGAGCAAACAGAAUUAGAAACCCCUGUAGUCC
rnacentral:rRNA from 1 species